UACGAGGGGGGCGAGCGUUGUCCGGAAUCACUGGGCGUAAAGGGCGCGUAGGCGGCCUGAUAAGUAGGGGGUGAAAUCCUGCGGCUUAACCGCAGGGCUGCCUUCUAAACUGUCAGGCUGGAGCACAGUAGAGGCAGGUGGAAUUCCCGGUGUAGCGGUGGAAUGCGUAGAGAUCGGGAAGAACAUCAGUGGCGAAGGCGGCCUGCUGGGCUGUUGCUGACGCUGAGGCGCGACAGCGUGGGGAGCAAACAGG
rnacentral:rRNA from 1 species